AGAGUUGAGCAAGACUUGAAAAGUACCGUGAGUUUGUUGAUAUCCUUUAUUGAAAACAGAUUGACCCGUCUUCAAUUUGAUCGAUUAUUAACGUUUACAAAUACCUACAGUUGUAUUACAAAAGUACUUUGAAAUGUUUUGGCAAAGUUUAGAGGAUAAUUUUUUUAGAUAUUUUGUCGUGACUGUGCAAAUUGGACGAUGCUUUUUCUGGUACAACGGCGCCAAAUAAAUGGACAAUUUGGAUAUAUAUGGACGGAAUUAAUCGAACAAAAGGACCAUUUGUGAUGUUUAUGGGACAUAUUGGAGUGCCAACAAAAGAAUCUCGUCAAAGAGAGCUGUGAAAGCCUGUCUGCAGAUGAGGUCACAAUGAAGAGCAGUGGUUCUCAGUCCUGCUCCUGGGGACUCAAAGGGAUACCUUGCAAUUGGAGAUUCCUUCAAAACGAU